rnacentral:lncRNA from 1 species
AGCAACGGCGUUGGCUCGCUCUCCUUCGAUAAAAUAAAUUGAGGUCGGAGAUUUUGAAACAAUGGAAAUGAGAUACGCGUUUUCGCAGUUUGACCUUCGGCAUACUUCUUUAGGAUUAUGGCAAAUAUAAAACGGCCCAGAGAGAAGGGUAUUCUCAUCAGUUCUCCACUUUUCCGUGCGUUAGUAACACGUUCGUUUUUUUCCACCUUGCUUUUGAUUAAUUUUCGUGUUUUGUUUUAAAGUAUCGUGUCUGUCGUCAUGAAACUCGGAACUUUCCUUGUCUGGCUCUGCCAGAUUGCGAUCUUGAAUUUUUACCUGGUGCAUGUUCUCGCCCAAGGGGCCGGAGCGGAAGCGGGCGCAGGUUUUAGCUUUGGCGGUGCGGGGGGAGGCCGGGACACGACUCGCCGGUGCAUGUGCCCCUGCGCAUGUCCAGAUCAGGUCUCGGGCACGGGCAUGGGCAUGGGCGGCGGCUUUCAUAUAGGCGGAGGCGCUAGAGGUCCUAUCACAGAGAGCAAUGCGCCUCAUCUCCCCGGAAAUUGAGGGAUUUCUAACGAAUGCUGACUUUUACACUCCAGUUCUCCACGAAUGUUCUCAGAGUCUUCUUACUUUUCAUAUUUUUGCAUUUUCGCUCAUGUAUUUAUAUCUUAAACUUUCCCCGCCCUUAUAUGAAGGACACAAUUAAAAGAAUGUUAGUGCAUUGAUUCACAUGUUUAGUUUAAACAAUAAGGUUUACGAAAAAUUUACAGCUUUGCAAAUCAAAAUGCUUGUUAUCCCAUUUCAUUCACGCAUCUACCCACUGUAUCGGUCUGUAAGGCAAGGGGCGGAUUAGUUUUCAAAUUUGCCGUUGGUAUUACACUCUAAAACAGGCAUUUUUGUGCAAUAAAAGAAUACGUAGACAAUAAGUUUAAAAAGCAGCACCGAGAAAGGCAAAUAGGUAUAAAAAAUGACCGUAGAAAUUAAUAGAACAGAUUUUUUUUUUUUUAUGUAAAAACAACGCUAAUACAAUAUUGUGGCUACGAUACUGUAUCGGUAUGAUUGUAGAAAUAUUUUAGUGCGCCCUUGGGUUUUCACAUCGACUAAACUAAUCGUAUCUUUUUCUUUAGUUUUCUCCUCGAGCAAUCGUGACAUUUGAGAGUGAUACUACUAUUUGUCCUCAGGGGAGCUAAGUAUUGCCUACAUUGAAAACUGCAGGCAAACUGACACUAAGCUAAAGUAACCGUUCCACGCUAGGUGAGGCCUAUUGUAGAUUUUUUCCUCGAUCUAUCGUCACCUUUAAGGGUGAUACCACAAUUCAAGGGCUUGGAACACAAGUAUCAUAAGUGCAGUUUUUGCUAUUUCGCGAAAUAUGUGUUUGAACUUCCGAAAUUACUUGGAUCCUUACAGCGGAAAAAAAGUUCAAACUGACGUUUUGAUGCUUAAAAAUUGGAAUUUUAUGACGAAUUUUUAACAGAAUAUGCGUUGACACUGGUUUUAUUUGAAAUCAUUAAUGUCUUAAUUUUUUUCAAUAACUGAACUUAUGCGCCUUGUCCUCCAAGCCCCACAAUUGAGCUUUGUGGAGCGCAUGAUUUUACCGCCGCAGCUUUAAGCUGUUGCUUCGAUCAGACGACGUAUUGACGGUGAUACCGCAAACACGCGUGUCUUGGUUUGCAGAAAUUCCCUUAUCAUUUUUUUUUUAAACACAAAAAACACUCAACAAGCCGAACGGGACAUGGAAGAGCGUCAAUACUCAACCGAACAUUGGAGGGAUCCCUGAAACACAUGGUGAAACUCAUUUUAUAGUUUUUCGUAGACGUACGUUUCAUAGUCUUUUUACUUUUCAUUUUUUCAAGCCUACAUUCUCACCUAUAUGUAUUCUUAUCAUUGUAUAAAUAAAGUCCAUUCGGUUAAAGAACACGCACUGAAAAAACAAAUCCUUGGCUCAAGCAUGAUGAUUCUUGAAUUUGACCACCUAAAUUCCUUUAGGAACGAGAGAAGAAAUGUUGAGGUUAAGCAAAAAGUAGCAUAAAUUCAGCAGUAUUAUUCUUGAUUAAACGCAAAAUAUAGCGUUACACACUUCGCAGAUUGACCGUGAAUAAAGGAAUAGAUUUAUGACUUUCUUGAUGUGCCCAUCGUGAUCUCGGUGAGAUUUUACCUAUCAGAAGUCUAUCCAAUUGGCUGCAUAUCCUGCGUGAAACAGACUCAUUACCCUCAGCCUAAGACCAGAAUAAUUAGAAUCGAAAAUUUCAAAAGUCAAAUUGUAAGUCCAUAUUGUUACGCGGAUUACCAACACGGAAAUAUGUAUUUUGACCAUUUUGAGCGUUUAGGCACCUCAUUGGGACUGGGUUUUUUUUAAUAGGAAUGUAGUUGCUCAAUUCCAGUAGUCGUUCGCGAGGGGUGACUGUGGGUCCCUGCAGCUGCAGCCCCCCCAGCCCCCCCCCCCUAAGAGAAAAAAUCCAGCUACGCUUAUGACCAUGAU